rnacentral:rRNA from 1 species
UCAUGCUCUNAUACCACCCUGAACACGCCCGAUCUCGUCUGAUCUCGGAAGCUAAGCAGGGUCGGGCCUGGUUAGUACUUGGAUGGGAGACCGCCUGGGAAUACCAGGUGCUGUAAGCU